rnacentral:ncRNA from 1 species
CUGAGAUGGAACUUAAAACCCCCUUUAAACACAAAGGCUUGGUCCCGACCUUAAAAUCAACUUUUACUUAACUUACACAUGCAAGUCUCCGCAUCCCUGUGAAAACGCCCUAACUCCCUUUAGCCAGGAAAAGGAGCCGGUAUCAGGCACAAUAAUUUGCCCAAGACACCUAGCAACGCCACACCCACAAGGGUCCUCAGCAGUGAUUAACAUUGAUUAUAAGUGCAAACUUGACUCAGUUAAAGGAAACAGAGUCGGCAAAUGUGGUGCCAGCCGCCGCGGUUACACCACAGACUCAAAUUGAUUUCUCUCGGCAUAAAACGUGAUUUAAGUCAUAACCCCAUUAGAGUUGAACCUUCCCUAAGCCGUGAUAAGCUUGUAGCAGGUAAAAUCAAAUACGAAAGUUACUCUAACCCUCCCACCUUGAAUUCACGAAAAUUUGGUCACAAACUAGGAUUAGAUACCCUACUAUGCCAUCUAGUMGUAAACUUUAACUUACUCCAUUCGCCAGGGUACUACGAGCUAAAGCUUAAAACCCAAAGGACUUGACGGUGUUUCAUAUCCAACUAGAGGAGCCUGUCCUAUAAUUGAUAACCCCCGCUUAACCUCACCACCCCUAGCCAAUCAGCUUGUAUACUUCCGUCGUCAGCUUACCACGUGAGCGAACUUCAGUAAGCAUAACGGCCUCGCCAAUACGUCAGGUCAAAGUGCAGCAUAUGGGGCGGGAAGAGAUGGGCUACACUCUCUAAUGUAGAAUAAACGAAAGGCCUAAAUGAAACUCAGGCCUGAAGGCGGAUUUAGCAGUAAAAAGAAAAUAGAGUGUUCUUUUUAACUAGGCACUGGAACGUGUACACACCGCCCGUCACCCUCUUCAAACACAUACCUCCCCGUAUUUAACCCCUAUCACUAUUAAAGAAGAGGCAAGUCGUAACAUGGUAAGUGUACCGGAAGGUGUGCUUGGAAACGAAAUAU